rnacentral:rRNA from 1 species
GAUGAACGCUGGCGGCGUGCCUAAUACAUGCAAGUCGAGCGAACAGACGAGGAGCUUGCUCCUUUGACGUUAGCGGCGGACGGGUGAGUAACACGUGGGUAACCUACCUAUCAGACUGGGAUAACUUCGGGAAACCGGAGCUAAUACCGGAUAAUAUUUCGAACCGCAUGGUUCGAUAGUGAAAGAUGGCUCUGCUAUCACUUAUAGAUGGACCUCGGCCGUUUUAGCUAGUUGUUACGGUAACGGCUUACCAAGGCAACGAUACGUAACCGACCUGAGAGGGUGAUCGGCCACACUGGAGGUGAGACACGGUCCAGACUCCUACGAGAGGCAGCAGUAGGGUAUCUUACGCAAUGGGCGAAAGCCUGACGGAGCAGCGCGGCGUGAGUGAUGAAGGUCUUCGGAUCGUAAAACUCUGUUAUUAGGGAAGAACAAACGUGUAAGUAACUGUGCACGUAUUGACGGUACCUAAUCAGAAAGCCACGGCUAACUACGUG